rnacentral:rRNA from 1 species
GACGUAGGUGGCGAACGUUAUCCGGAAUCAUUGGGCGUAAAGGGUGCGUAGAUGGCAUGAUAAGUUAUUAGUGGGAAAUCGAGGCUCAACCUCGUGGAAGCUGAUAAUACUGUUUUGCUUGAGUGCAGGAGAGGUUAACGGAACUCCAUGUGGAGCGGUAAAAUGCGUAGAUAUAUGGAAGAACAUCAAUAACGGCGAAGGCAGUUAACUAUUCUGCUACUGACAUUGAGGCACGAAAGCGUGGGGAGCAAAACGG